rnacentral:rRNA from 1 species
AAUCAACGCUGGCGGCGUGCCUCAGACAUGCAAGUCGAACGCGAAAGUUUCCUUCGGGAAGCGAGUAGAGUGGCGUCCGGGUGAGUAACACGUAGGUAAUCUACCUUUGGGUGGGGAAUAACAACCGGAAACGGUUGCUAAUACCGCAUAAUGCAGCGGCACCACAUGGUGACAGUUGUUAAAGCGGGGGAUCGCAAGACCUCGCGCCUAAAGAGGAGCCUGCGGCGGAUUAGCUAGNGGUAAGGUAACGGCUUACCAAGGCAACGAUCCGUAGCCGGCCUGAGAGGGCGGUCGGCCACACUGACACUGAAUACGGGUCAGACUCCUACGGGAGGCAGCAGUCGGGAAUUUUGGGCAAUGGGCGAAAGCCUGACCCAGCAACGCCGCGUGAAGGAU